GGCCUCGCUGAGAACGGGACACGCAGCAGAGACUCAGAGGUGAGGGAGUGAGGGAAGAACGUUCCUGAAAGAGGCACAAGCUCGUGCAAGGACCUUGCGGUGGCAGCGUGCCUGGUGUGUUCAGGAAGAGCAAGGAGCCAGGACGGCCGAGGAGUCCGACGGAGAGCAGGAGGAGACAAGGUCAGGCUCAGUCCGCACUGAUGACCUUCUUCAAUGGCCUCACUACAAAGCCCAUCAAGAUCUUUCACACAAGAAAGGAUGCCCAACUUCACCCACAGUUUUCAGUGUGGUUUCUAAAGCAUUUUAAAUCACACAUGUGGCUCACAUUAUAUUUCUAUUGGACAGUGCUGCUCUAACGCUCUGAACUUGGGCCACCAGGCAGUGUGGAAGACAACGGCUGACACCGUGGAAUUAAAUGAUAGUCUAAAGCUCCCUUCCUUCUGUGUUAUCAUGACAGUGCUUAGGGAGCAGGAAAGUAGUAUGGCUGAGAACUGAGGUUUCUGAAUCAGGCAAGCUCCAGUUUCAGUCUUCAAGACCCGCUCUGUCCAAUGCAGCAGCCACUAGCCACAUAUGCCUACUGAGCACUUGAAAUGUGGCCAGUGCAAAUUGAGACGUGCUUCAAGUACAAAACUCAGACUAGAUCUCAAAAACUCAGUACAAAAAAGUGAUGUAAAAUAUCUCAUUAAUAAUCUUUAUUACAUGCUAAAAUAUUAACAUUUUUGAUAGAUAGUAUUAAAUAAAAUUAAGCUUGUUUAUUCAUUUUUAAUAAUUUUUUUAGUAGUUUUAGGUUCACAGCAAAAUUGAGUGCACGGUACACCCCCGUCCCACACAUGCACAGCGUCUCCCACUGUCUACGUCCCCCACCACAGUGUCCCAUUUGUUCCAACUGAUUAACCUACAAGGACGCACCACCAUCACCCAAAGUCCACAGUGGACAUUA